AUUCCAGCUCCAAUAGCGUAUAUUAAAGUUGUUGCAGUUAAAACGCUCGUAGUCGGAUUUCGGGGCGGGCCGACCGGUCUGCCGAUGGGUAUGCACUGGCCGGCGCGUCCUUCCACCCGGAGACCGCGCCUACUCUUAACUGAGCGGGCGCGGGAGACGGGUCUUUUACUUUGAAAAAAUCAGAGUGUUUCAAGCAGGCAGUCGCUCUUGCAUGGAUUAGCAUGGGAUAAUGAAAUAGGACUAUAGCCUCGUCGUUGGUUACGUGGACUGCAGUAAUGAUCAAUAGGGAUAGUUGGGGGCAUUAGUAUUUAUUAGCUAGAGGUGGAAUUCUCUAAUUUGAUAAAGACUAACUUAUGCGAAAGCAUUUGCCAAGGAUGUUUUCAUCG
rnacentral:rRNA from 1 species